UGAAUAGAGAGAAAAUAAAAUAGACAAGAUGAAAAAAAAAGGAAAAAAAUAAAUACAAAAAAAAUGAGAAAAAUAAAAAAUAUUUUGUGAAUAAUGGAGUCAAGAAGAGGAUUGAAUUAGAGGUUUUGGGUGUGAUUUAACUGUGAUUCCACUUGUUCCCCAUUGCUCCUCUAUUUAUUUUGGUUUAUAGCUUCUUAUCCAUAUUUAUCCUCCCUUGUCCUUGGCCUCAUUACAUCCAUAAAAGACCUUUUGAUUUGAACAUGCGUAUGUUUUGAGUGUUGAUAUUAGAGGCUUGCCAAGUCUGUUUGUGUUUGCUUUCUUGAGUGCAUUGAAUUGACAUUGUUUACCUUAGACACUUGAGAGAAACACUNAUAGUGCAUCUGUGAGGUUCUGUUGCUUUUGAUUCACCUCUUGAGCUGACUGAUCAUUUUGCCAUGCUUUGAAUUUCUUGGAUGACUUCAUGGG
rnacentral:lncRNA from 1 species